rnacentral:rRNA from 1 species
AGUGAACGCUGGCGGUAGGCCUAACACAUGCAAGUCGAACGGCAGCACAGUAAGAGCUUGCUCUUACGGUUGGCGAGUGGCGGACGGGUGAGGAAUACAUCGGAAUCUACUUUUUCGUGGGGGAUAACGUAGGGAAACUUACGCUAAUACCGCAUACGACCUACGGGUGGAAGCAGGGGAUCUUCGGACCUUGCGCGAUUGAAUGAGCCGAUGUCGGAUUAGCUAGUUGGCGGGGUAAAGGCCCACCAAGGCGACGAUCCGUAGCUGGUCUGAGAGGAUGAUCAGCCACACUGGAACUGAGACACGGUCCAGACUCCUACGGGAGGCAGCAGUGGGGAAUAUUGGACAAUGGGCGCAAGCCUGAUCCAGCCAUACCGCGUGGGUGAAGAAGGCCUUCGGGUUGUAAAGCCCUUUUGUUGGGAAAGAAAAGAAGCAGGUUAAUACCCCGCUGUUCUGACGGUACCCAAAGAAUAAGCACCGGCUAACUUCGUG